UGGGGAAUUUUGGACAAUGGGCGAAAGCCUGAUCCAGCAAUGCCGCGUGUGUGAAGAAGGCCUUCGGGUUGUAAAGCACUUUUGUCCGGAAAGAAAUCCUUGGCUCUAAUACAGUCGGGGGAUGACGGUACCGGAAGAAUAAGCACCGGCUAACUACGUGCCAGCAGCCGCGGUAAUACGUAGGGUGCAAGCGUUAAUCGGAAUUACUGGGCGUAAAGCGUGCGCAGGCGGUUUGCUAAGACCGAUGUGAAAUCCCCGGGCUCAACCUGGGAACUGCAUUGGGUGACUGGCAGGCUAGAGUAUGGCAGAGGGGGGUAGAAUUCCACGUGUAGCAGUGAAAUGCGUAGAGAUGUGGAGGAAUACCGAUGGCGAAGGCAGCCCCCUGGGCCAAUACUGACGCUCAUGCACGAAAGCGUGGGGGAGCAAAACAGGAUUAGAUACCCUGGUAGUCCACGCCCUAAAACGAUGUCAACUAGUUGUUGGGGAUUCAUUUCCUUAGUAACGUAGCUAACGCGUGAAGUUGACCGCCUGGGGAGUACGGUCGCAAGAUUAAAACUUAAAUGAAUUGACGGGGUCAUAGCUGUUUCCU
rnacentral:rRNA from 1 species